rnacentral:tRNA from 1 species
GUAUAUGAGCAGAAGUUCAUUUCUGAUUAUUAUUUAUCUCUGUAAAUAUAAUAUUCUUACCAAUGCAUUUCUUA